AAAACAAAUAAGUUCCUGUCGCUACUUGAGAAAUCUUUUUUUCUUUUCAUCUCGCUUCUCCCGUUGAUGUCUUCGUUUUUUUUUUUUAUUCAUUUAUGCCGUUUUGUUGUGUGUGUAGUUAUUUUGGAAUGAAAUUCUUGUCGAUUUUUUCUCAAAGAAAAAAUUAAUUUGAAAAAAUAAAUAAAACACGAAAGAGCAAGGAGCACAGAGACUGUAGUAGACAGAACGAGUGAAAGAGAUAAAAAAUAUAUAAAAAAAAAGUUGUAUACACCACACAUACACUUGUCUCUCUAUAAAGACUGUGAGUGUAUGAAUUGAGAAAGAAGAGUGAGUGAGUGAUUUUUUUUUUAUCAGACGAAGAAAAAGAAGAAAAAAAAAUAAUUUUUUUCCCAAUUUGAAUUCGGGUUUGGAUUAAAAGAAGACAGAUUUAUCUUGAAUUUUUGAAAUUGGAAUAAACAUUCAUCUGGUGUUGAUUGUUGAACUUAUUUUCAAUAUUUUGAGUAUUUAAAAAAAAAAAAAACAUAAAAAAAAACGGAUACCUAUCAAGCCUCAAAUUUUAAUGCUGAAAUUUUGGGUGGAAGAACAUCCACCAACAACGCAAUCAUCAAUAACACAGGUAGCAUCAGCAACAACAACAACAUCAAAAACAUCGAGAAACCAAACUGCUAUCAGAGGACUUCACCGUCAACAUCACUUCCUCAGCUAUUUACGCCUCUUGCGGCUGCCGAUGAUACAGACCAAUGCGAUACAGAAGAUGAGAUACCAGCUUCCGUGAUAAGCAGUGUGGGCACAAUCAAUUAUCAACGUAAACAGCCCUUAUCAUUUUCUACAGCAUCAGUAGCCACAAUCGCAACAACAGCUGCCCAUGAGAUCUACGUUGUGUCACCAACGCAAUCGGCGACUCCGUCAAAAUACAAAUCAGCUAUUAUAACGAAUGGUGGGGGAAGCGGCGGUGGACGCAAUUCGACCACCAUCAGCUGUACAGAAGUUGAGGGCGCCGUCGGCGGCGGCGAUGCUGCGAAAAUGGUUAGAGCUGCGUCGGCAUCGACAACAGUUCUCAUAACGAAUCAACAAUUAGUUCAGUCGAACGCCCAAAACGCCAGGCAUAGUCUUCCAUCACCAAUCAAAAUGGUGAUACCGGCUACAAGCCAGCAUCAACAAGUGUUGCAGCAGCAGCAGCAGCAACAGCAGCAACAGCGUCAACAACAACAACAGCACCAUCAGCAGCAGCAGCAACAACAACAACAAUAUCAACAACACCACAUACAACAGCAACAACAGUUACCGCAACAGCAGCAGCCACAACAACACCAACUGUUACAACAAUCUCAGCAUCUGCAACAGCAGCAACAGCCACCACCACGGCUUCAUCCGAAAAAACGAAAAUUUGACCCAGCAGAGCUGGAGAGAAUGGACCAUCCAAAAGUACAGCAACUGCUGAUAUCGGAUGCAGGAAGUGUUGGCUGCGAUGGCAAUGAGGCUGGUCCCAUGACGCUUAAAAACGGUACUAACAUCAUUGUGUCUGCACCCAAUUGGCAGCCUUCGUCUAAUACAUCGUCCAAUGAAACUGUAUACAUAAGAUCAAUACCCCAUCCAGCAAAUUCCACAACCCAAAAUAUUGGUCGCCUGACCAACAUGGAAAGUCCCGAUAAGAAAAUAAUCAUAGCGAGCCCUCAAAAUUCUUACAAAUUCCAAAAUCUACAAACCAUAACAACAAUCAACAACAACAGCAGCAGUCGAUCGAAUUCAACAACGCAACAACAAUACAAUAUUUCUUAUCAACAGCAGCAACAACAACAACAGAAUAAUACUUCAUCCGUUGGAGUACUAGAUUUAAGUGAAUGGACCAAUACAAGAGUUUUGGCUAAGCUAGGCAACUACUAUGCUUCGGGCAUAAUUCGACCAACGGAAACAACAGCACCUAAUUCGGUGUGUGUGGAAUUCGAUGCUCCCGAAAACUGUACACAAUUGUAUACGGACGUGUUGGCUUCUGGUCGAUACAAUGUUAUUUUGGAUGCAAGUCCUCCAGCAGCAGAGAUAAACCUUAACACAAGAGUCUGCGUUCGCACACAAGUUGAAGGCCGGCCAGGCUGUGUCUUCAUCGAGGGUUCUGUCACUGAAAUCAAUUUGAAUACCAAGCAGUUUUCAGUACAAAUCGGGGAUUCAAACUCUGCACAAAUAAUUAAAACAGUCAAAAGAGCGGAUUUGAGAUUAUUACAACCACCUUGGUGGGACGAACUCAAUGAAGUUGGAAAAUACUCGACUUCACGCAGCAAUAGUGUUAUUGGACAGCAAAACACUGACAUUCUGGAAGGACGAACUGGACAACGCAUUAUCAACAAAAGCGGACACAUUGUUAUAAACAAUUCUGAAACAAACAUAAUCUACACAAGUCGUGGUGAUGUCCUUCAUAAGGCCCCAUCUCAUCAAGUGGCCUAUGUCACUACAAGAUACGAACCAUGUGGCAAAAUCAAUUCUAGCGGAGGUCAUCAUACUCCGA